rnacentral:misc_RNA from 1 species
AAGUCGUAACAAGGUCAUCGUAGGUGAACCUGCGGUGGGAUCAUUCAAGAAUGUCCCGAAACUCGGGCGUGAUUGGCUGAAAAAUGAGACCCUUGGUCUCUGAGUAGGCGGUCGCGAACGAGGGGAUAUUAAAUCCAAUGGGAAACCUUGUGUGCACUGUCGCUCUGCGAUCUCUCUUGGCGCGCAGUCGAGCUGUCGCGGCAGCCCGGGGUGCGUCAGAGACUUUGAUUUACUACGUAUGUCUGAAAAAUUUUUUAAAUGAAAAUACAACUUUCAACAACGGAUCUCUUGGCUCUC